rnacentral:rRNA from 1 species
UACGGGGGGAGCAAGCGUUGUUCGGAUUUACUGGGCGUAAAGGGCGCGUAGGCGGCCACCGCAAGUCGGUUGUGAAAUCUCCGGGCUUAACCCGGAAAGGUCAAUCGAUACUGCGGGGCUAGAGUGCAGAAGGGGCAACUGGAAUUCUCGGUGUAGCGGUGAAAUGCGUAGAGAUGGGGGAGAACACUCGUGGCGAAGACGGCCAGCUAGACCAGUUCUGACACUGAGGCGCGAAAGCGUGGGGAGCAAACAGG